AUGGGCGCAAGCCUGAUCCAGCCAUACCGCGUGGGUGAAGAAGGCCUUCGGGUUGUAAAGCCCUUUUGUUGGGAAAGAAAAGCAUUCGGUUAAUACCCGGGUGUUCUGACGGUACCCAAAGAAUAAGCACCGGCUAACUUCGUGCCAGCAGCCGCGGUAAUACGAAGGGUGCAAGCGUUACUCGGAAUUACUGGGCGUAAAGCGUGCGUAGGUGGUGGUUUAAGUCCGUUGUGAAAGCCCUGGGCUCAACCUGGGAAUUGCAGUGGAUACUGGAUCACUAGAGUGUGGUAGAGGAUAGUGGAAUUUCCGGUGUAGCAGUGAAAUGCGUAGAGAUCGGAAGGAACAUCUGUGGCGAAGGCGACUAUCUGGGCCAACACUGACACUGAGGCACGAAAGCGUGGAGC
rnacentral:rRNA from 1 species